rnacentral:rRNA from 1 species
GAUGAACGCUGGCGGCGUGCCUAAUACAUGCAAGUCGAGCGAACAGACGAGGAGCUUGCUCCUCUGACGUUAGCGGCGGACGGGUGAGUAACACGUGGAUAACCUACCUAUAAGACUGGGAUAACUUCGGGAAACCGGAGCUAAUACCGGAUAAUAUAUUGAACCGCAUGGUUCAAUAGUGAAAGACGGUUUUGCUGUCACUUAUAGAUGGAUCCGCGCCGCAUUAGCUAGUUGGUAAGGUAACGGCUUACCAAGGCAACGAUGCGUAACCGACCUGAGAGGGUGAUCGGCCACACUGGAACUGAGACACGGUCCAGACUCCUACGGGAGGCAGCAGUAGGGAAUCUUCCGCAAUGGGCGAAAGCCUGACGGAGCAACGCCGCGUGAGUGAUGAAGGUCUUCGGAUCGUAAAACUCUGUUAUUAGGGAAGAACAAAUGUGUAAGUAACUAUGCACGUCUUGACGGUACCUAAUCAGAAAGCCACGGCUAACUCUGUG